rnacentral:rRNA from 1 species
UACGUAGGUGGCAAGCGUUGUCCGGAUUUACUGGGCGUAAAGGACGCGUAGGCGGACAUUUAAGUCAGAUGUGAAAUACCCGAGCUUAACUUGGGUGCUGCAUUUGAAACUGGGUGUCUAGAGUGCAGGAGAGGUAAGUGGAAUUCCUAGUGUAGCGGUGAAAUGCGUAGAGAUUAGGAAGAACACCAGUGGCGAAGGCGACUUACUGGACUGUAACUGACGCUGAGGCAUGAAAGCGUGGGGAGCAAACAGG